CUCCCAACCUCACUCCCCAAGUGUAAACUCUGACUCGCUGCCGAGCCUGGGAGCAGGAAGCCUGGGAUUGGUUUCGCAGCAGUCGCAUUCUAGGGCUUUUCUGCAACUAAUUCGAACCCUGAUUCGGUCAUCUUCUUUCUCCGCAGCUAAAAAUCCUAACUUUUGUGUAUAUUCCCCUCCGAAAACUCUUACUCCGUACUUUUCCAAAUCCACCCAAACCUCUAAAUCGUAGGGUUUUCAUAUCACCCGUCAAUUUAGGUUUUUUUUUUUAUUUUUAAACUUCCCCUACGUAAACGAUCCGAAACCAAAGCUUUAAUCAGAUUCAGACUGCUGGUUUUGUGUUCAAAUCAGGGUUUUUUAAGCUUAUUUACAUGUAUGGCUUCGGGGUUAUUACGGGAUGACGAAGCGAGAGAGAAGAAGCGCAGGUGGGAGGAGAGCAGCAAGGUCUAUAGCCGAAAGAACCACAAGAAACCCAAGAAUUACGGUAAUGCCACCCAGCUGUCCCCCUCUCAAACCCUAGCCACCACUACCGAAGAUAACAACUCCUCUCAGCCGCCGUGGACGUUCGAUUCGGUGGCGUCAGACGACUCUUCAAGCCAGAAUCUGCAUGAACCGGUUUCACAGAGCUGCCGUGAGCUCGCCAAGGGGAAUGGCUUGCCGGAUUAUGCCAGAUUCGAGAACCGGGUUAGGAUUAGCGUGAAAUCAAGGUCGAAGAGUGAGGUUAGAGAGCUUAGGAGGAAGCUAGCGAGUGAGCUUGACCAUGUGAGAAGCUUAAUGAAGAAGCUUGAAGUUGUGGUUGAUAAAGUUGGAACUGCAAUGAGGGUCAAUUCAGAGGCGGGUUCGAAUUCAAAACCGUUUCGGAGUUUGACCGUGUCCGCGGCGGAGAAGAAUGAGCAACGAAUUGGUGAAUCAGCGGUGAAAGAGAAGAAGACGCCCAAGGCGAAUCAGCAUAAUCAGAAUUUGGAUCUCGUCUCGGGGAAGGAGAGCAAAAAGAAGUUGAAAUCCAAUGGAGGGAAGAGGGACGGUGGGGGUGAAAUGGGAUUGGGGUUUGGUAAAGAUUGGUAUUUGAGUCCGGUGUUUAAGAGUUGCGCCGAUUUACUCUCCAAGUUGAUGAAGCAUAAGUUUGGUUGGGUGUUCAAUAAGCCGGUGGAUGUGAAGGGUCUCGGGCUUCGUGAUUAUCAUACUAUUGUCAAGCACCCAAUGGAUUUGGGAACGGUGAAGAAUAGGCUGAAUAAGAAUUGGUAUAAGUCCCCCAGAGAGUUUGCAGAGGAUGUAAGACUCGCAUUUAAUAAUGCCAUGUUGUAUAACCCGAAAGGGCAGGAUGUUCACUUCAUGGCUGAGCAGCUUUCCAAAAUAUUUGAGGAGCAAUGGAAACCUAUAGAGUCUGAGUUCAAUCGUAGUAGGAGAAUUGAAAUGGGUCAUGAUGCAGGUUUGCCAACACCCACUUCAAGAAAGGCUCCCAUGCUGGCUCCAGCUCCAGCACCAGCACCAGCUCUACCCCCCGUGCCUGCUCCACCACCAGUGGAAACGAGGACUUCAGAGAUAGCAGAAUCUAAAACCAUGCCUGUGGAACCUAAGUUGAAACCCGGCAGUCAUAGUCAGGUUGUUAGGAGCCCGGUUCCGAAGAAACCUAAAGCUAAGGAUCCUGACAAAAGGGAUAUGACUUAUGAGGAGAAGCAGAGGCUCAGCUUAAACCUUCAGAGUUUGCCUUCAGAGAAGCUAGAUAAUAUUGUCCAGAUAAUUAAGAGGAGGAAUCCAGGUCUCUUUCAACAAGAUGAUGAAAUUGAAGUGGACAUAGCCAGUGUUGAUCCAGAAACACUUUGGGAAUUGGAUAGGUUUGUGACCAAUUAUAAAAAGAGUUUGAGCAAGAAUAAGAGAAAAACUGAAAUUGCUCUUCAGUCAGAGGCAGAAACCGACAAUGCUACCCAGGAGACGAAUUUAGCACCAGCCGUCGCUGAGGCUCCUAAAGAAACUGAAGCAGUUGAAAACAAUGUUACCAAAUUGACCCCAGUUCAAGGAGAAAAGCAAGGUGAUAACGUGAGUGGAUCGAGUAGUUCCAGCAGUUCUGGCAGUGACUCUGGAUCCUCUUCAAACGAUUCCCACAGUGAUGGUUCCUCUGCAACUGGGUCAGAUGCACAUUGACCUUGAACGUCAAAGGAUCCAGGUGAGCCCAACAGGCUGCCCGGCUCAUUGGAUGAAUGGCUAGUUGCAUAACAAUAGAGGCCAAAGAGGUGCUUGGAGAAUCAAAAGACCAGUCAUCGUCUGAGAACACUUGAUGGUGGAACGAAGGGGUUCAGACAGCAGUUAGGUUAAAGAAAGAUAAUGGACAAACAAUGAGGUUUGUGAAAAUUACAGAGUGAUGAAGAAGAAUCCAAAACAGGUAGCUAGUGAAGUCAAGGAAAAGGACAACAUGAGAGUUGAGUCACUAUAAAUGUGUCAAAGAUGAAGGUCAAAGAGUUUUAGCAAGUGAAGUAGAUAUUAAAGAAUGAUGGAGCUUUUUUAUAAUCUUCUUUAUAGAAGUAAUAUAGCAGAUUAGGGAGUUCAGGAUGGAAAUUGCUGGAUUCAUACAAAAACCCAGGAUGGUUUAGGUGAAGGAUGCUUUGAGGAGAUAAAACUGGAUAAAUCUUUUCAUUAAUGUGGUGCAUUUUGGAACAGAAAGAGCUUCUCUAAGGUAUGUUGACAUGGUCAAGGAUGUGUAUGAUCAAGUGGAGAUAUCACAUGCGAGCUUCCUAAUAUGUUUUCAAGAUGGCAGAAAUAAGUUGAUCUGCAAUUGUUACAGUUGACAAUCUUAAGCAACUGAUUUUGCAUAGCAUAUGGUUGUGUAGAACCAUUCAAGGUGCUUCUGCUUUUUGGCUGCAUUAUGAAAUGGAGUACUUAAGGAGUAUGACUUGUAACCUUUAUUUAUAGGUGGCUCAUUGUAAUCCUUUUUUGUUUUUUUUUUGCCCUUCUAUGGUGAUCCUUUGUUCUGGAAGCAUUUUGUAUAAUAAUGUUAGAUAUUAUAAUGACAGAACCUUUUCGUGUAGCAAA